UACGUAGGAGGCGAGCGUUGUCCGGAAUUACUGGGCGUAAAGGGCGCGUAGGCGGCCUUCUAAGUCAGACGUGAAAUCCCCCGGCUUAACCUGGGAACUGCGUCUGAUACUGGAGGGCUUGAGUAUGGGAGAGGGAUGUAGAAUUCCAGGUGUAGCGGUGAAAUGCGUAGAUAUCUGGAGGAAUACCGGUGGCGAAGGCGGCAUCCUGGACCAUUACUGACGCUGAGGAGCGAAAGCUAGGGGAGCAAACGGG
rnacentral:rRNA from 1 species